rnacentral:rRNA from 1 species
AACGAACGCUGGCGGCGUGCUUAACACAUGCAAGUCGAACGAGAAAGCCCUUCGGGGUGAGUAGAGUGGCGCACGGGUGAGUAAUGGAUAGGAAUGUACCUUAAAGUGGGGAAUAACUGUGGGAAACUGCAGCUAAUACCGCAUGUGCUCGUAAGAGUAAAGGAGGCCUCUACUUGUAUGCUUUCGCUUUAAGAUCAGCCUAUCUCCCAUUAGCUUGUUGGCAGGGUAAUGGCCUACCAAGGCGACGAUGGGUAGCUGGUCUGAGAGGAUGAUCAGCCACACUGGAACUGAGACACGGUCCAG